CGGCUACCUUGUUACGACUUAGCCCCAGUCAUCGGUUUUGCCCUAGGGCGCUGCUCGCGCUCACGCACUUCAGGCACUCCCGACUCCCAUGGCUUGACGGGCGGUGUGUACAAGGCCCGGGAACGUAUUCACCGCGCCGUGGCUGAUGCGCGAUUACUAGCGAAUCCAGCUUCAUGGAGUCGGGUUGCAGACUCCAAUCCGAACUGAGACAGGCUUUCGGGUUCCGCUCCCUGUCGCCAGGUGGCUUCCCGCUGUACCUGCCAUUGUAACACGUGUGUCGCCCCGGACGUAAGGGCCGUGCUGAUUUGACGUCAUCCCCGCCUUCCUCGCAGCUUGCGCCGGCAGUCCCGCCAGAGUCCCCAGCUUUGCCUGUUGGCAACUGGCGGUAGGGGUUGCGCUCGUUAUGGCACUUAAGCCGACACCUCACGGCACGAGCUGACGACAACCAUGCAGCACCUCGUCGCAGGUCCGUAGACGGGCAUCCUUUCAGACACCCUUCCUGCAACGUUUGAGCCCGGGUAAGGUUCCUCGCGUAUCAUCGAAUUAAACCACAUGUUCCUCCGCUUGUGCGGGCCCCCGUCAAUUCC
rnacentral:rRNA from 1 species